UUAUAUUUUUUGAAGGUGGGACAGGAAGGGUUGCAUAAACGACCCAUGUAAAUCAAGUCCUACUGUGGAGAUUUUGUGUGGUUUUAUUUUGAAGUUUUAAUUUGAAUGGCUCCUUGUGUAAUGCAGAUGAUCAGUACAGUCAGUACGAAUGGCCGAGCCAGGAGGGUACCACAGCAGGUGCACUGGAAUUAUCUGACAUUCGCUGUCAUACUGAAAACUGUGUUGCCCCAUCUUAAUGGGAAUUUUACCAAGAACCUUGUCUCAGUCCUGGGGUGGUAUGUUUCUCAGUGAACAUACACCUGCCUGCACUAUCAUCUCCCAUGUUGGCUGUACACAGCUUUCAGUGGGAGGCCUUUCAUCCAAGGAGUUAGUCCUGUUUGUAUAUAUUCAAGGGCAGAAAUGUCCACGCCAUUGGAACUGGAAGGCAGGUGGUCCUGUGUCCCCAGAUCCAUGAGUAUGAUAACGCAACCUCUCCCAAGAUGGAUUUGGUGAAGCAGGAUAAAGUCUGCUUGGCAUGUGGAUGCUGCUGGUUGGCUGGGCUCCAACAUUAGCUUAGGUGACUCACUGCCUCACAUGGUCACUUUAGGGUCACUGACUUAGGUCAUAUGGCUGCAACAUUUUAGACUGUCUUAUGCUCUGGACCAAGCAUGACCAUUAAGACUGAACAGGAGAUGGCAGUUUGACAUUAAUAUUUAUUCCCGAGUCCCGGUCUAAUGCAGUGCCCAGCAUGUGGAGAAACGUGUGAGAUGACCACGGAAGUGGUGGACAUUGGCUUGGAAUUGAGAAGGCUGUGGAAGGCUGAUGGUCAAGUUGGGUUUUCUAGAUUAGGGGAUGAUGUGAACAAGUAACUGGAGGCCUUGCAAGCGCUCGCUUACGUGACGGGAGUCAGGGUGUAAAGGGAGCCUUGGGGUUCUCUGGAGAGACGGAGGUGGGUGCUCCGAAGGAGCUGAUCCUUGUCGGUGACAGGAAACUAGUGACAUAACUUUUUUUAGACACGUGAGCCCCCAGUUUGGAGCUCCUAUAUUCAAAUAAAAAAGGACAAUGAUAAUAAUUUCUUGUAAAUCUUGUCCUUUUGUUAGUUUUCUACUUCAGGAAGUUUGUAUUCUCCUUGUUAUUCAGUUUGCUAUAGUGACUUUUUUCUCAAUUGCUUCAAACUUUGAUGUUUUUAAUAUGCUUUCAUUGAGAUUCUGAGAUCUAUCAUACUAUUACUUUGAUUUUAAACAGGAUCUUCUGUUCCUUGCCAUUUCAAAUUCACUAAAAUAUCUUUGUUUCAUGAUUUCAUCUGUGCGCUCUUUUUAUGAAAUUUAUGUUCUUUUGAGCUGUUCUGUGACCUCAGAUGGUUGUGAGGGGUUUCGUUCCAUGUUUUCUUGUUUUGUGACAGUACGUUCACCUGGCCGCGGGCCACUUCUCCGUUCGUUUGUCCCGCACGGCUCUGCACUUGCUCUGAUACGAUACAGCGACCUUCGCUUCCCCUGCGCCCAUCUGACGCCAAUGUGCUUUCCCUCCCGCGAGCAGGAGGCUCUGUUUUGUCCUGAAGUCGCGUUACAUGCACCUUACGAAAGGUCCUUUCAGCUGGGCGUACCUGGGCUUUCCACCGUCGCUGCGGGGAUCUAAUCCUGCGUCACGGCUAUUUUUCCAGAGCCUUUUCUGUCAGCUCCAGUAUCUCUGGAAUUUCCCUAACAGCCAUUUCAACUAGACCCAUCAAGAACAGACACUCAGUUGCCCCUUUGCAGAUGCGGAUUUUGUGCCUCCAUCUGGCCUCGGGGGAUGGGCAGGUCAGCUGGGAGGCUGUCCUGCCCUCUGCGAUUCUGCAGCUCCCAUGGGGGCAGGGAGCACAGGGGACACUGCGGGCAGGCUCAGAACAUGGGCCUCUAUGUGGGGGUGGGGAGAGUGGCAGUGAGUGAGAAUGUGGCAUCAGAAGCAGGAGUUUUGGGCGUGUAAGUUAUUUAAAAGGAUAGUAGUUUUUUUUUAGGACUAAUAAUACCAGUGAGGAAUCCGAACUGAAUUUCUGCCAGAAUGCUAAUGACUCCAGAGACGCACAGAACACUGAGCUUUGAAGAGCUUCUGAGAAACACACAGAGACCAAGCUCUGCUGAGCUGGGGUGGAAAUCAGCUGUGCGGUUUCUAGCACGUGCCCCAGACUUCUGAAGUUUCUCACUGUCUGAUUUGUCCAGGAUCCUAAGGCAGAAAAGUCAGGGUCCAAGGCCCCUGGUUCCCAGCCUGUGAGCUGGAGACAUCUCCAUGGAUCCAAGAGGGCGGUGGUGUAGGACGAGCUGAACACGCCCUCCUGUGAGCAAGUGCAAGUGUGCAGGGCAGCCACUCCCGUGAGACAGCUGAGGGCGCAAUGAAGAGCUUCCGACCAACAAACGAGCGGGGCGGGGGAGGCCGGGAGCCCCCUCGUUCACGUCCCCUCCACUUUGACGGGGGAGGGAGCUUUUCGGGUGCUUGGCCCCCCCGCAGCAUCACUGCAGUACAUCCCCAGCCGCACCACCCGCAGCCUCCUGCCUCUGAACAGGGCGUGAGUGGGAACAGCGCACCUGGACCUCCGACCCGAGAGCCACCCCCCCAGCUUGGCCAGCCAGUGCCCGGGCGCCCACGCAGCUCCAGCCGGCUUCUUCCAAACGCCCGGCACAGAGAGGAACACACCAGCAACCUCGAAGACUAGUGGAAACAAACCGAUGAGAACAGCGAAAAGAAGAAUCUAACAGACGCGGACAGUUUAAGGGAACGCUCUCUGGGAUAACAUCAAGUGCUCGAACAUUCGUGUUAUAGGGAUCCCAGAAGGAGAAGAAAAAAAGGAACAGAAACUUUAUUUAGAGAUAUAAUGGCUGAAAACUUUCCUCACCUGGGGAAGGAAACAGACACCCAGGUCCAAGAAACACGGAGAGUUCCAAACAAGAUGAACCCAAAGAGACCUCUGCACCAAGACAUGUCAUAACGAAAAUGACAAGAGUCAAAGAGAAGGAGAAUCCUGAAGGAAGCACGAGGAGAGUUACGCGCAGUGGACACCCGGGAAGGCCGCCAGCUGACUUCUCGAAUUUACAGCCAGAAGGGGGUCAGAUGGGGGUGGCAGGACACCGUUAAAGCGCUGGAAGAAAGGAACGUACCGAACGUACCACCUGCAGUAACUGGACCCCUCCAGGUGAUCGUUCCCAACUGAAGGAGAAAGAGUCCAGAAGCAGCAAAAUUAAAGGCGCUCAUUACCAUGAAACCAGCUUCACACAACACGCUCAAGGGUCCUCUUUAAGCAGAAAAGGAAGGCCAUGUAAAACCAAACGGGUAACAAAUCCAGUGCAUUAGACAUUUUAAAAGCUGCUUAUCAGGUUCAAAUAGACUACCAUAGAUGCAGAACGACAUCCACAGACCUCAAGGUAACCACGCACCGAAACCUGUGAAAAAUAGACAAAGAAUUAAGAGAAAGGAACCCAAACAAAACACUACAGAAAAACAGCAAACCCCAAAGGAAGACAUCAAGAGAAAAAAGGAAUGGAGGAAACUGAAAAAACCACCAAAAACCAAUGAAUGAAAUGGUAAUAAGUACAAUAAUUACUUGGAAUGUAAAUAGGUCAAAUGUUUCAAUAAAAACACAUAGGGUGGCUGAAUGGAUUUAAAAGCAUGACCUGUCAUGCUGCUUACCAGACUCACUUCAAAUCGAACUUCAUAUAUGGCCUGAAAGUGAAGGGAUGGAUGAAGAUAUUCCACGCAAACAAAUGAAAAGAAAGCGGGGCAGCAGUACUCAGCCACUCACAUCAGACAAAACAGGCUUUAAAACGGGAAAUGUCGAAAAGCAUUACGUAGUUAUAAAGGGCUCCAUCUAGACACAGAUGUAAUAAUCGUAAAUCUCCACACACCCAAUACGAGAGCACCGAAAUCCAUAAAGCAGUUAUUACUGGACAUAAAGGGAGAGAUCCGCAGGAUUACAGUAAUAGUGAAUUCUGAUACUGAUACCCCACUCACAUCAAUGAAUAAUUCUCGGCCAAAAAUUAAUGGCUUUAAAUGUCACUUUAGAUAAACUUAAUGGACAUUAUAGCACAUUUCACCCCAAAAACUGCAGGAUACACGUUCUUUUCAAGUGCACAGGAAACGUUCUCCAGGACAGAUCACAUAUUAGGCCACAGAACAAGCCUCAGUAAAUUUAAGAAGACUGAAAUCAUAUCAAGCAUAUUUUCUGAUGACAGUGGCAUGAAACUAGAAAACUACAGGAAGAAAACUGAAAAAGAAUCCACAAAUACGUGGAGAGUAAACAUGGAAGGGAUCAAUCACGAAAUCAAAACCUACCUCGAAACAAAUGAAAUGAAAACACAACUUUUAAAAAAUGUAUGUGAUGCAGCAACAGCAGUUCUGAGAAGGAAGUUCACAGGUAAGCUAUACAGGCCCACCUGGACAAACAAAUGUCAAAUAAGUAGUCUGACUCUACACCUAAAGGAACUAGAAAAAGCAGAGUUGAAAUAAAACUGAAAAAAAAAAAAAACAAUUAAAAUAACAGCU